AGGCAUGCAGGUUUGUUGUUAGAAUUAAUUAAUGGGUUAUUAAUAAGAAAUGUAGAUAAUGUAUGCUGCAGAACUCUGAAAAUCCUGAAACACACCCUAAGGGUUAUGGAAUUUACAUCUUCCAUAGCUUCUGUUAUUUCUUCACUAGUUUGCAGCCAUACCCACACCUGGAAGGUGACGAAAGGUAGAGUUUACUUUCUCGCCCGUGUCAGCAGUCAUACUGUGGAAUCCAUGAAAGCUGGAUUUCCUUUUUCUGGUGCGUUUUUACUCUUGAACUGUGUAACUGUGGAUAACUUUAAUACUGCCCAUUCUUUGUUUACAGUUACAUAAUUUCUAUUGUCCUUAAAAGUAACCGACAUAUUUCUUUUUAAAGGUUUCAGUAAAAAACGUAAUCUGCAUCUUCAUUAUGAAACUCAUAUGCAAUUUUCUUCUAUCUCUAGAAUUUAGAUUGAUGUUUAAAAGAAUCAUUUUCAUUAUCAAGCUUCCCUAUAGUUUCCCACUUUUCUAUUCCAAAUAUUUUAAAAAAUCACACAAAAUGUCAGAGCUUUUAGCAAUAUAAAGAAAGAUUUAUUUUCAAAAGUAGCAAAACUUGUUUGAAAAAAAUAUAUAUCUUUAAGUGAAUUACUUUAUAAAUGUGACUGUCAAAGUCAGCUAUCCUAUGAUCUACAUUUUACAACAUAUUGUACAAAAGAUACAUUGAUAGGCUCUUAUCUAUUUAUACAUUUAUAAUUACAUAUUGCACUUGGACCAGCAAGGCUUGCAGAGUCAUUCACGGUAGAAGUUAAUAAAGUUAAAUAGAUGGGAAUCUUUGCAAGUACAAUUGAUCUCCUCUGGUUUGGAAACGAAUCUCCUCGUCGUUGUAAAGUGUUCUCGCGGGGUGGGACAGAGAGAGGAGCAUUGCGAGGGGGAAGCAGAGACAGAGAGCACGGAGGGCAGGGGUCGACUUCCCGGGGCCCGCUCCCCCCGGGAGCGCGCCUUUCCCAGACUCGCACCUCCAAGGUCAGGACGCCGUGGUUCCACAUAAGCGGCUCGCGGUCACCACUUCUUUCAGGUCACUCUCGGGUUUCCCGGCCACCAAGAAGGGCCACGUCUGCGGGAAAGAAGAGGGUGGAGGAGGUCCUCCACAUCGCUGAGGGAGCCGGUGGACAUGUUUGGGGGAGUGGACGAGGGAGAGAGGGAGAGAGAGAGACAGAGAGAGAGAGAGAGAGAGAGAGAGGCAGAGAGAGAGAGAGAGAGGCCCUGAAAGCAAGGGGCCUCCCGAGUGUGGCGCAGCCACCUCCUGUUGGGAGCUGGAGUUGGGGUCUGGUUGGGUUUCACAACCCUUUCCCCUUCGCACAGUUGUGAGAAGGAACCUAGAGGACUUCUGCAGCAGAGGAACCGGCUCUCUGUUUCCCCACUCCCAGAGUCGUGGCCGUAGAGGAGUGUGAGCGAGCGCUGAGGAAUUUGGUGGACACUAGGAAUUUAUCUGGGGAAUAGAGGGGCGGAUCUUUGCAGCCCAGGGGAGGGGCCUGCCAGGCCCCAGCAAAGCGCUUAGACCCCUUUCACAACCGGAGGGAAACUCAUUGCACAGACCCUAAUUUGCAACUUGUAAUGUAAAUCAACUCAACUGCAUCAUGUACUUACCAGCCACCUUCUCCCAACUGUGGCCGGCCGAGGAGAAUCAUGUCCUGUCCAUCUCUAAAAGGCCUUUCCCUCUUAAGACAUCACAGCUGGUUGUUACUGAGAACUUUAGAAAAACGACUAGAUCCUUUGGCUCUUUCUGGGCCUUCCACCUACGAAUCUCACAAGCACUCCAUUCCCUCUCUCCUCUCAAGAAAACACAAGUAAAAAAUACAGGGAGUAUCAACUGCAUCCUGCCAACACCUCAUAAGACUCCAAGGCUUUACCAAGAUCUCCUUCCACCUUCCCCGGGAUAAAUGAGGACAAGUGCUUCCUAGAAUCUUUAUGGUGAUGGAAAAGUGGAGAUUUAAAUGACCACAUCCACCCUAAGAUUUAUUGUGAGAAUGAUUGAUGUUAUAAACCAGGAAAGGACUCUUCCCACAGCAGGGAUGACAGAAAUAUCAAGUUGAAGUUGCCUUUGUCUUCACGUACAAAUGACCCAGUACUACAACACAGAAAGUAUAAUAAUUUCAUCUGAGGUUCAAGACAGCAGUAAGAGAACACCCAGCAGGCCUGUUAAAAUUUUCUUUACUAAUUCCCCAACUAGUUUCCUGUGAUUUGCUCUCCCUUCUCUCAGUCUUGGUAAAACAUGAAAGUUAAAGUUAUUUUUAGAGUAAAGAGCUCUGUGAAAAUGGGCAUUGGCCAAUACUUUGUGAAAUGUGUGUGUGCGCGCGCGUAGCUACUAAGAUAUCUGCAAAAUAACUACAAAUAAUUAAUUUGGGCUCUGGAAUGUGAUAAUUAUUAUAAAAAUUCAAACUAUGGCCUUACUACAUACCAGGCUAUUAAGCUGUGAUUUUUCUUGUUGGAGUCAUUUUUUUUUUUUCUUUUUGGCUCUGGUUCUCUGUUACACCUUAGUUAAUGGACUGCUCAGGCUGUCUGGGGGGAUAACAAUCAUAGUAAUAUGUACCACUGAAAAGAUUUCUGUUGUCUGUAUAUUUUUCAAUGUUGGAAACUUUAAAGUACCAAUUUCUGGAAGCAUGUAAAACUAGCCUCAUGUCAUAGGCUGGUUUUUAUGCUUAGCAAUUAUUUUUCUUUAUGGCCAUAUAAGAAAUAAUUGUCCCAUGUCCAUUUAUCUUGCAGUGAGACGUUUAGGCUGAGAAAGGCUAGUGGUCUGAUAAUACAUUUUGGAGUGUUUCUAAAAUUCUGUAAAAGAUGGCUUCCAGUUUGGGAGUAAGAUUUGAAGAAUGCUGUUGCUUACGUAUCUUGAUUUGAAGUCUUGGAGAAAGAAUAUUCAUAUGAAAAAUGCUUUUUUCUUUUAAAAUUUUGUGUCUAUCCCUGCUAAUAAACACUUAGGGACAAAUGGGUGGGGCAAAUGACUUCUUGUUGGACUCUACUGAGCAAAUCAGUUAAGCUGUAACUUAAGCUGUGCCAAAUUCUCCCAAAAUGUAAACUAUAUUCUGUGAGAAGAGAAGCACUUUGGAGAAGCUGUAUUAACCCUUUUGGUACAUUGACCAUUUCUGUUCCAAAGCAUGAAACAGAAAACUAGUGAUUUGAAAGUAUGAGAUCAUUUCUAAAAGUUCUUACCUGACUUUUAAGAAACAGUUAUGCCCCAGAGGCAUCUGGCCAAUUUGCUGCUCACUUCUAACAAUUUGUUUUGCAAGAAAGACUAUCUUUGAAAGAUUUUAGUGCUAAGGAAAUUUUAUCUCCAAAAGCUGUAAAAUGAAGAUUAGGCAUGGAAUGUACCCUUGAACUUAAAUCCUGGUUUAUCAACUGAUACAUUUACAGGAAGUUCAAAUUUGAUUCAGUUGCACUUGGAUGGAAUAAUUUGCUUCCUUUUUUAUGAGAAGGAAAACAUCAUAGGCUUCCUUUGAACUGACUUCACAUGCCAUUACAUAAUCUUUCUCAGGGGAAAAAUAUGCCUUUAAAUUUAAAUUUUAAUCCUUUUCUCUUUCUACUCAUCAUUUGGUCAGGAGAAACAUAGGCUGGCAAAUCGGCAAAACUGCCCAUUCUCUUUUUUCUUCAUUUCUAAUUAGCACCUCCAGAUGUUUUAUUGAUUUUGUUUGAUGGUAACUACCACCACUUCAAACAUUUGCCAACUUUCUAUGCAAGUUGAUGCCUUUUCUUUUUUUCACAGAGUCUGUCUUGCUCUGUCGCCCAAGCUGGAGUGCAUUGACACAAUCUAGGCUCACUGCAACCUCCAUCUCCCAGGUUCAAAAGAUUCUUAUGCCUCAGCCUCCUGAGUAGCUAGGAUUACAGGUGCCUGCCAAUACACCUGUCUAAUUUUUGUAUUUUUAGUAGAGGUGGGGUUUCACCAUAUUGGCCAGGCUGAUUUCACACUCCUGACCUCAGGUGAUCUACCCACCUCAGCCUCCCAAAGUGCUGGGAUUACAGGCAUGAACCACCGUGUCCAGCCAGGUGCCUCUUUUUUGAUUUUACAUAAUUAUCUCCAUACCCUUUGUUGGCUGCUGAUUGAUUAUUGUCUAUCUCCCACCUAUAUGCUUAUCAAAAUCUGACUUUGUUUCAUUAAAUUUUAACUUUAUUUCAUAAAGUGAGCAUUACCUCUCUUUGCUCAUUCUAAAUUACAGUGGUGCUGGCCUGUUAUGUUUUGGCAGCCAAAGUGAAUAUAGCACUAGUGAGCUUGGUGGCUAGCUAAGAAGGUCAAUAAUAGUGAUGCUAGGUGUUGCUGCUACCCUUACCUGGCACCAGCUGGGAGAUGGUAUAUAUCCUGGAUGGUAUAAAUCCAUUCAGUAAUCAGAAGUCUUCCACGUGUUCAGUAUACCCUAACGCCCUCUUUUCACAUUUAAUUCAGUGAAUUGUAGAUAAGAUGCCACAGUGCUAAGAUUUAAAGCUGGCAAAUAACAACAGUAAAGUCUAGAGAAAGAUUCUGCAUGGUUCUUUGAAUCCAAGAGUUAAUCUUGCAUUUCACAUGUUCCAUUAUACAGCUUUGAAAGCAGCCAAGCCUAUGUGCUUGAAAGUCGGAGUUUACCCUAAGGUGUAAGUGGGCCAGAGAAAACUCAGGCAGACAAAGAGAGUUAAAAAUUUUGCAAAGCCAGUUUAAUGUCCUCCUAAGUUUUCUAAUACUAGAAUAAUUUUAUUAGACCCUGUCAGUGUUAGGAAAGAGAGAGAAAAGGACUGAACGACUCCUGAGUCAGGUACCAUGCAAGGACCUUUGCCUCCAUUCUCUUGUUUCAUGUAUUUUCUCUCCUUUCUGUUGGCACUACUAAAGAAAGAGCUGCCACAUGAAAUGAAUAUUGUAUUAGAAAUGCAUGCCAGAGGCUUUCCCCUGUAAUAAAGUUUUAGAAAAACUG